rnacentral:lncRNA from 1 species
UCAAAAUUGAAAAACAUGUAUAGGAUUUCAAGACCAUCACUAGAUUCCUAGACCCUUAAAAUAGGGGGGUAGCUCAAAUCAAAACUUCAAAAUUCCUAUUCAUAUGCAAAGUCAACUCAAAAGUCAAAAUAGUCAAACACUUAAUACCUACAAAUAUAUGCACCUUUUCAAAACUUCAAGCCCAUAUUUAGAAUUGGCAACCCUCAAACAAAUCCAAUGGACUUUUCAAAAAUUUCAAAAAAUCUUGUAUGACAAAAGUCAAAACCCUAAACUCCAAGUCAAAGUAGCUAAAUCUUCCAAACUAUAAACUUAUAUAGGAAAAGAAUUAUACCAUUGACAUCCUAGACACCAUAAAUGGGGGGGUAGGUCAAGUCAAAAUCCAAAAAUAAUGAUGCCCGAAAACCGGGGACACCCUUGUAACCCUAAACCCUAAACCCUAAACC